rnacentral:rRNA from 1 species
AACGAACGCUGGCGCCAUGCCUAACACAUGCAAGUCGAACGAGACCUUCGGGUCUAGUGGCGCACGGGUGCGUAACGCGUGGGAACCUGCCCUUAGGUUCGGAAUAACUCCCCGAAAGGGGUGCUAAUACAGGACAAUGUCUUCGGACCAAAGAUUUAUCGACUUUGUAUGGGCCCGCGUUGGAUUAGCUAGUUGGUAGGGUAAAAGCCUACCAACGCGACGUUCCAUAGCUGGUCUGAGAGGAUGAUCAGACACACUGGGACUGAGACACGGCCCAGACUCCUACGGGAGGGAGCAGUGGGGAAUAGUGGACAAUGGGCGAAAGCCUGAUCCAGCAAUGCCGCGUGAGUGAUGAAGGCCUUAGGGUUGUAAAGCUCUUUUAACCGGGAUGAUAAUGACAGUACCGGGAGAAUAAGCUCCGGCUAACUCCGUG